CCAGACUCCUACGGGAGGCAGCAGUGGGGGAUAUUGCACAAUGGGGGAAACCCUGAUGCAGCGACGCCGCGUGAGUGAAGAAGUAUUUCGGUAUGUAAAGCUCUAUCAGCAGGGAAGAAGAUGACAGUACCUGAGUAAGGAGCCCCGGCUGACUACGUGCCAGCAGCCGCGGUAAUACGUAGGGGGCAAGCGUUAUCCGGAUUUACUGGGUGUAAAGGGAGCGUAGACGGAUGGAUAAGUCUGAAGUGAAAGCCCGCGGCUCAACUGCGGGACUGCUUUGGAAACUGUGCAUCUUGAGUACGGGAGGGGCAGGCGGAAUUCCUGGUGUAGCGGUGAAAUGCGUAGAUAUUAGGAGGAACACCAGUGGCGAAGGCGACUUUCUGGACUGUACCUGACGCUGAGGCGCGAAAGCGUGGGGAGCAAACAGGAUUAGAUACCCCAGUAG
rnacentral:rRNA from 1 species